rnacentral:rRNA from 1 species
CGGGUUGAUAGGCCAGAACUGGAAGUGCAGUAAUGCAUGCAGGUGACUGGUACUAAUAGGCCGAGGACUUACCAC